rnacentral:rRNA from 1 species
UACGUGGGGUGCAAGCGUUGUCCGGAAUUAUUGGGCGUAAAGAGCUCGUAGGUGGCCUGUCGCGUCGGCUGUGAAAACUCGGGGCUCAACUCCGAGCUUGCAGUCGAUACGGGCAGGCUAGAGUUCGGCAGGGGAGACUGGAAUUCCUGGUGUAGCGGUGGAAUGCGCAGAUAUCAGGAGGAACACCGGUGGCGAAGGCGGGUCUCUGGGCAGUAACUGACGCUGAGGAGCGAAAGCGUGGGGAGCGAACAGG